rnacentral:rRNA from 1 species
GUGGGGAAUAUUGCACAAUGGGCGAAAGCCUGAUGCAGCAACGCCGCGUGAGUGAUGACGGCCUUCGGGUUGUAAAGCUCUGUCUUUUGGGACGAUAAUGACGGUACCAAAGGAGGAAGCCACGGCUAACUACGUGCCAGCAGCCGCGGUAAUACGUAGGUGGCAAGCGUUGUCCGGAUUUACUGGGCGUAAAGGAUGCGUAGGUGGAUAUUUAAGUGGGAUGUGAAAUACCCGAGCUCAACUUGGGUGCUGCAUUCCAAACUGGAUAUCUAGAGUGCAGGAGAGGUAAGUGGAAUUCCUAGUGUAGCGGUGAAAUGCGUAGAGAUUAGGAAGAACACCAGUGGCGAAGGCGACUUACUGGACUGUAACUGACACUGAGGCAUGAAAGCGUGGGGAGCAAACAGGAUUAGAUACCCCUGUAGUCC